rnacentral:rRNA from 1 species
CCCAGAAGAGCCGCAGUGAAUAGGCCCAAGCGACUGUUUAUCAAAAACACAGGUCUCUGCUAAACCGUAAGGUGAUGUAUAGGGGCUGACGCCUGCCCGGUGCUGGAAGGUUAAGAGGAGUGGUUAGCUUCUGCGAAGCUACGAAUCGAAGCCCCAGUAAACGGCGGCCGUAACUAUAACGGUCCUAAGGUAGCGAAAUUCCUUGUCGGGUAAGUUCCGACCCGCACGAAAGGCGUAACGAUUUGGGCACUGUCUCAACGAGAGACUCGGUGAAAUCAUAGUACCUGUGAAGAUGCAGGUUACCCGCGACAGGACGGAAAGACCCCGUGGAGCUUUACUGUAGCCUGAUAUUGAAAUUCGGCACAGCUUGUACAGGAUAGGUUGGGGGGGAAUAAGCCUG